rnacentral:rRNA from 1 species
GACGAACGCUGGCGGCGUGCUUAACACAUGCAAGUCGAACGGAAAGGCCCCUUUGGGGGUACUCGAGUGGCGAACGGGUGAGUAACACGUGCGUAACCUGCCCUUGACUUCGGGAUAACUUCAGGAAACUGGGGCUAAUACCGGCUAGGAAUCCUUGCUGCAUGGUGGGGGUGGGUAAGCUUCGGCGGUUUGGGAUGGACUCGCGGCUUAUCAGGUUGUUGGUGGGGUAGUGGCUUACCAAGGCUUUGAUGGGUAGCCGGCCUGAGAGGGCGACCGGCCACAAUGGGACUUGGAUACGGCCCAGACUCCUACGGGAGGCAGCAGGGGGGAAUAUUGCACAAUGGGCGGAAGCCUGAUGCAGCAACGCCGCGUGCGGGAAGACGGCCUUCGGGGUGGAAACCGCUUUCAGCAGGGGCGAAGCUGGUGGUGACGGUACCUGCAGAAGAAGCACCGGCUAACUACGUG